UACGAAGGGGGCUAGCGUUGUUCGGAAUCACUGGGCGUAAAGGGCGCGUAGGCGGCCGAUCAAGUCGGGGGUGAAAGCCUGUGGCUCAACCACAGAAUUGCCUUCGAUACUGUUUGGCUUGAGACCGGAAGAGGUAAGUGGAACUGCGAGUGUAGAGGUGAAAUUCGUAGAUAUUCGCAAGAACACCAGUGGCGAAGGCGGCUUACUGGUCCGGUUCUGACGCUGAGGCGCGAAAGCCAGGGGAGCAAACGGG
rnacentral:rRNA from 1 species